AAAAUUUGGUGACCAUUCUAUGAAGCAGCCAUUAUGGAGCCCCAGAGUAGAAGUGUAAUGAACAGAUGGUGAUACCCUCUCGUAGGUUGGCGAGCAACGAGGAGGAUGUCUAGAUUCAAGUUAGUGGUACCUCUGUCCUCUACCAUAGAUUAACGUAGUGUAUGGUAUAGGGGAGGACGAAGACAGCAGUUCUAAAAAUAGAAUAUUUGUUCAAAAGAAAUGAUCUUGCAAAAUAUCACCAACUAAGGAAGAUUACCAACGACAAUUGGUAGACCCAGCAACGGUCAACAAGUCGUCAAAAUCGUCGAGUUCAAUGCACACAUGUACAGAGACACCUGUAAAAGCAACAAGAUCAUAAUAAUAAGCUCGAUUCCCGGGACCGAGGCUGGACAAAUCAAUAGAUCAAAAUUUAGAGAGACGUCGUAAUUACGCGGGCUAUCAUAUUUUGCGUCAGGAAGGCCUGUGAUGGUAGAAAUUAUUAUCACACGAUUAGUAGGACUCGAGUAGGAGGUAAGAGGCACACCGCGCGGUGAGCGCAUAUUAUUAAAUAGAAAGUGUAUUUCGUGUGCGGAUAUUUUGUACGCUAUUUCGUAACUCGUAUAUAAUUCGCGUGCCGCGUAUACGCAUACAUAUUAUAUUUUAUAUACAUUUUAACGCUGUUAUUAUCGUUAUUGUUAUACAUUUAUUAUUUAUUA